rnacentral:lncRNA from 12 species
CCUUGCACACUCUACCCCCAGCCACGCUCCUCACCACCAAAUGUAUUUAUUUAUUUAUUUAUUUAUUUAUUUAUUUAUUUAUUUAUUUAUUUAUUUAUUUUUAUUUAUUUAUGAUAGUCACACACAGAGAUAGAGAGAGAGAGAGAGAGGCAGAGACAUAGGCAGAGGGAGAAGCAGGCUCCAUGCACCGGGAGCCCGACGUGGGAUUUGAUCCCGGGUCUCCAGGAUCGCUCCCUGGGCCAAAGGCAGGCGCCAAACCGCUGCGCCACCCAGGGAUCCCCACCAAAUGUAUUCAUUUUUGUCGUUUCCAGUUGCUACCACUGAACAACCAAAAAUAAGAGGAACCCGGCAGCUCACGUGUACUUUUGUGGUGUCUCAUUAGCAUCGUCUACGAGUAGGCCGCCCUCCUCUACGGACUCCUGCGUGGCCCUUGCAGCCAGCGCUUCUUGCAAGCGAGCAAAGAGAGAUGGCUUUCCCCGAGUUCCUUGUGAACUUAGAAUAGCUUUGGGGGGAAAUAAUCAUCAAUUAUAUUCAGUGUCUUAAAGGGAUGGGGUGUUUAGAUGUUGAAAGGGCACUGUCUAACCCGAUUUCCUUGACAUAACCCUUUGGACUUGGCUUCAAUUUUGAUGAACCGCACAGGAAAGCUCUCAUCAUUGGCUGGACACUUGCUGCUCCCCCCCGGGGCUGCAGGGUUGGCUGCACGAGCAGAGGAGGAUGCGUGGCCUUCUCUUGCGCUCGCCGCUGCCAGCCCAGCUCCGUGGCAGCCAAGUCCCAGGCGCUUGGCUGGUCUCAGCUGGAUUUCAAGUCAGGUUCGGACACCUUGGUUGUGACUGGAACUGGAAGAAAAUGUCCACAUGACUGUAUGCAGAUUCAUGUUUCAAUCUGGAAAAGUGGAAGCAGUUUGGUCUCGCUGGGAGGCCUUUCUGAUCCUCCAAUAGAAGUGUGGAAAAUCACUUCACGUGGAGGAAAAAUGCCUAUUUUUGGCUCCUGGAGAAGUUCACCAAAGCCUGUUACCUCCUGGAUAAUCAAGACUUGUCUCAGGUAGAGUGGCUUUCUGAACAACAUUUUGCUUCAUAUCAGAGAGACCUGCACGCAG